AAUCGUGGAUCAGCAUGCCACGGUGAAUACGUUCCCGGGUCUUGUACACACCGCCCGUCACACCAUGGGAGCCGGUAAUACCCGAAGUCAGUAGUCUAACCGCAAGGAGGACGCUGCCGAAGGUAGGAUUGGCGACUGGGGUNAAGUCGUAACAAGGUAUC
rnacentral:rRNA from 1 species